GGUAUGACGGUACCCUUUCGAAUAAGAGGUUGCUAACUCUGUGCCAGCAGCAGCGGUAAUACAGAGACCUCGAGCGUUAUCCGGAUUUACUGGGCGUAAAGCGUCUGUAGGGGGUUUGUUAAGUUCCAAGUAAAAUCUUAAGGCUCAACUUUAAGUUCGCUUGGAAAACUAAUAAACUGGAGUCCAGCAGAGGUGCAUGGAACUUGCGGUGUAGGAGUGAAAUCCGUUGAUAUCGCAAGGAACACCAAAGGCGAAGGCAUUGCACUGGGCUGGUACUGACCCUGAGAGACGAAAGCGUGGGGAGCAAAACGGAUUAGAUACCCGUGUAGUCCACGCCGUAAACGAUGGAUACUAGAUGUUCGGGGAUUCGACCCCCUGGGUGUCACAGCUAACGCGUUAAGUAUCCCGCCUGGGAAGUACGGCCGCAAGGCUAAAACUCAAAGGAAUAGACGGGGAUCCGCGCAAGCGGUGGAGCGUCUGGUUUAAUUUGAUAGUAAGCAAUGGACCUCACCAAGGUUUGACAUCCUAUGACAACCCUGGAAACAGGGCUUUCUUCGGGCAUAGUGACAGGUGCUGCAUGGUCGUCGUCAGUUCGUGCCGUGAGGUGUUCCGUUAAGUCGGGAAACGAACGAAACCCUCGUCGCAUGUUACAAAUUUCAUGCGAGACUGCCCGGGUCAACCGGGAGGAAGGCGGGGAUGACGUCAGAUCAGCAUGGCCCUUAUACCUUGGGCUACACAGGCGCUACAAUGGCCGGUACAAAGGGUUGCAAAACCGCGAGGUGAAGCUAAUCCCAUAAAGCCGGUCCAAGUUCGGAUUGGAGGCUGCAACUCGCCUCCAUGAAGUUGGAAUCGCUAGUAAUCGUGGAUCAGCCAUACCACGGUGAUACGUUCCCGGAUCUUGUACUCACCGCCCGUCACACCAAGAGAGUUGGUA
rnacentral:rRNA from 1 species